GACGAACGCUGGCGGCGUGCUUAACACAUGCAAGUCUACGAGAACGAGGUAGCCAUAUCUUUAGUAAAGUGGCGCACGGGUGCGUAACACGUAAGCAAUCUACCUUUGGGUCUGGAAUAACUUCGAGAAAUCGAGGCUAAUACCGGAUAAUGCAGCGGCACCGCAUGGCGAUGUUGUUAAAGUCUGAGUAAUGCCUAUAGAUGAGCUUGCGUCUGAUUAGCUAGUUGGUAGGGUAAAGGCCUACCAAGGCAACGAUCAGUAGCUGGUCUGAGAGGAUGAUCAGCCACACUGGAACUGAGACACGGUCCAGACUCCUACGGGAGGCAGCAGUGAGGAAUAUUGGGCAAUGCCCGCAAGGGUGACCCAGCAACGCCGCGUGGAGGAUGAAGGCCGUAAGGUUGUAAACUCCUGUUAGAGGAGAAGAAUAGUGCCGAUUGGAUCGGUAUUUGACUGUACCCUCAGAGAAAGCCCCGGCUAACUACGUGCCAGCCGCCGCGGUAAUAC
rnacentral:rRNA from 1 species